rnacentral:rRNA from 1 species
UACGUAGGGUGCAGGCGUUAAUCGGAAUUACUGGGCGUAAAGCGUGCGCAGGCGGUCUUUUAAGUCAGAUGUGAAAUCCCCGGGCUUAACCUAGGAACUGCGUUUGAAACUGGAAGGCUUGAGUGUGGCAGAGGGGGGUGGAAUUCCACGUGUAGCAGUGAAAUGCGUAGAUAUGUGGAGGAACACCGAUGGCGAAGGCAGCCCCCUGGGCUGACACUGACGCUCAGGCACGAAAGCGUGGGGAGCAAACAGG